GGGCCAGCCAGCGCGGUUAAUACGAGGGGUGCAAGCGUGUCGAUAUGACGUAAGCGAUUCUAAGCGCUCGUAGUAUUUCAAAGACAGCCUCACAUGGAAGGAGAUAUACUGCAAGAGUGAAAUAUUUCGCGGUUACUGGAACUAUCGUGUAGGGGUGAAAUCCGUUGAUAUCGAUAGGACUCCAAGGGCGAAGGCAGGUAACUAGGAAUUAUUUGACGCUGAUGAACGAAAGCUAGGGGAGCGAAAGGGAUUAGAGACCCCUGUAGUCCUAGCCGUAAACUAUGCUCGCUAGACCAGUGGAUUUUAUCUGCUGGACGUAAGCUAACGCGUGAAGCGAGCCGCCUGGGGAGUACGAACGCAAGUUUAAAACUCAAAGGAAUUGACGGGAGAGCGCACAACCAGUGGAGCAUGUGGUUCAAUUCGAGACAAAACGAAGAACCUUACCCGGGUUUGACAUGUUAUCGUGUUAGGUCACUAGAAAUAGAGACUGAUCUUUGUGAAAACAUAGAUGAUAACACAGGUGUUGCAUGGCUGUCGUCAGCUCGUGCCGUGGGGUGUUCCCUUCAGUGGGGUAACGAGCGCAACCCCUGUCCCAAUUUAAAUAUCAUUGGGAGACUUUUCAUCCUUGUGAUGGAAGGAAGUGGGGAUGAUGUCAAGUCAGCAUGGCCCUUAUGUCCGGGGCUACACACAUGCUACAAUGGGGCCGACAAUGGGUUGCCAAGCCGUAAGGCGGGGCUAAUCCCAUCAAACGGCCUCUCAGUGGGGAUUGAGGGCUGCAACUUGCCCUCAUGAACGCGGAAUUGGUAGUAAUCGGAGGUCAGCUAUACUUCGGUGAAUACGUUCUCGCUCUUUGUACACACCGCCCGUCAAGUCAGCAAAGUUGGGGGCACCCGAAUAUCGAUUGUAUCGGUAGAAGGUGAAUCCAGCGAUGAGGAUUAAGUCGUAACAAGGUAACCAAGGCGAUCGCAGAGCUAAUAUAGAAU
rnacentral:rRNA from 1 species